CACGUAGGGCGCGAGCGUUGUCCGGAAUUAUUGGGCGUAAAGAGCUCGUAGGCGGCCUGUUGCGUCCGCUGUGAAAGCCCGGGGCUUAACCCCGGGUCGCAGUGGAUACGGGCAGGCUAGAGGUAGGUAGGGGAGAAUGGAAUUCCCGGUGUAGCGGUGAAAUGACGCAGAUAUCGGGAGGAACACCGGUGGCGAAGGCGGUUCUCUGGGCCUUACCUGACGCUGAGGAGCGAAAGCGUGGGGAGCGAACAGG
rnacentral:rRNA from 1 species